UUGGAACCGGAGCAUGGAGCAACCCGAUACCAAUAUCCAUGCUGAUUUCUUCCACUGCACCGCAAAAUAAAAGCCCGGCCUCUUUCGAGGCCGGGCUGGUUCAGACUGCUUCGGUGAACGAAAUCAGCCGCGGGGGCGCGAGCGGAUCAUGAAGCUGUCGCCUGCCACCACAGAUACUGGUCCGAACGGUAGGCCUGCAUCGCAUCGAUCGCCUUCUUGAAGUCGGCGUUCUUGGCGGAGAUUUCAGCCCAGAGCUCGUUGGUCGCCUUCAGGCACGCGUCGAGCACCUCAUUGGUGAACGGAC
rnacentral:misc_RNA from 1 species